rnacentral:rRNA from 1 species
AUACGGAGGGGGCUAGCGUUGUUCGGAAUUACUGGGCGUAAAGCGCGCGUAGGCGGAUUGAUCAGUCAGGGGUGAAAUCCCGGAGCUUAACUCCGGAACUGCCUUUGAUACUGUCAAUCUUGAGUUCGAGAGAGGUGAGUGGAAUUCCUAGUGUAGAGGUGAAAUUCGUAGAUAUUAGGAAGAACACAGUGGCGAAGGCGGCUCACUGGCUCGAUACUGACGCUGAGGUGCGAAAGCGUGGGGAGCAAACAGGAUUAGAAACCCGAGUAGUCC